UACGGGGGGGGCAAGCGUUGUUCGGAAUUACUGGGCGUAAAGGGUGCGUAGGCGGCGCAGUAAGUCAGGGGUGAAAUCCUGGAGCUCAACUCCAGAACUGCCUUUGAUACUGGGGAUCUCGAGUCCGGAAGAGGUGAGUGGAACUCCGAGUGUAGAGGUGAAAUUCGUAGAUAUUCGGAAGAACACCAGUGGCGAAGGCGGCGCUCUGGGGCCGGUACUGACAGCU
rnacentral:rRNA from 1 species